GGGGGUGUGGCUUAGUGGAGAGCAUUUGGCUGGCAUGCACAAAGCCUUGGGUUCAACUCCCAGCACCUCAA
rnacentral:tRNA from 1 species